GACGAACGCUGGCGGCGUGCUUAACACAUGCAAGUCGAACGGAAAGGCCCUGCUUUUGUGGGGUGCUCGAGUGGCGAACGGGUGAGUAACACGUGAGUAACCUGCCCUUGACUUUGGGAUAACUUCAGGAAACUGGGGCUAAUACCGGAUAGGAGCUCCUGCUGCAUGGUGGGGGUUGGAAAGUUUCGGCGGUUGGGGAUGGACUCGCGGCUUAUCAGCUUGUUGGUGGGGUAGUGGCUUACCAAGGCUUUGACGGGUAGCCGGCCUGAGAGGGUGACCGGCCACAUUGGGACUGAGAUACGGACCAGAAUCCUACGGGAGGCAGAAGUGGGGAAUAUUGCACAAUGGGCGGAAGCCUGAUGCAGCAACGCCGCGUGCGGGAUGACGGCCUUCGGGUUGUAAACCGCUUUCGCCUGUGACGAAGCGUGAGUGACGGUAAUGGGUAAAGAAGCACCGGCUAACUACGUG
rnacentral:rRNA from 1 species